AAAUCACAGCCCCAGCCU
rnacentral:misc_RNA from 1 species